UCCUUUGCUGUGCAAAAGCUUCUUAUCUUGAUGAAGUCCCAAUAGUUCAUUUUUGCUUUUGUUUCUUUAAAGCAAACAAUUUAAAGAGAGAUUUUAAAAAUCUGGAUAAAUAUGAAACUAACAAGUGCCACAUCUAACUGCUUAAAAUUGGUUUGAAUCCACAUGUUCAGAAAAAUCAAGUGUUAUAAUACUUAAGGAAAACCUUUCAUUAAGCAUUUUCUUUGUGUAAGUCACUUUUAUGAGCCCCAUGAUGAGGCAGCAAUUGAGCAAGUAGACUAGGGACACAAAAAAUAUGGAAAUGCAUGAUCCUUAAAUUCAAGGAGCUUAUACUACAGUUGGGGAAAAAGUUCUGUUGAUGGUAAAAAUUUUUUUUAAAGAUUUUAUUUAUUUAUUAAUGAGAGACACAGAAAGAGAGGCAGAGACACAGACAGAGGGAGAAGCAGGCUCUAUGCAGGGAGCCCAAUGUGGGACUUGAUCCCGGGACUCCAGGAUCAUGCCCUGGGCUGAAGGCAGGCGCUAAACUGCUGAGCCACCCAGGUGUCCCUGAUGGUAAAAAUUCUAAAUUAUAGAUCAGUUUUAAAGAAGUGGUCCCAUUAUGUUCAAAGAUGGUACCUAUUAUCUGCCAAGUAAUAAAUUGUACUAUCACUCUGUAAUACUUCAAAUAUCAGAAUCCCUUUCCACAUAAAAACCUCUGGAUCCUAAAGUAUAUUAGAAAAACCUUUAAUUUCAUAAGAUCAAUUCUUCUUUUGAAAUAGCAACCGACAUCUGAAUAGAUUUACUUUACACCUGAGCAAGCUGAAAAUUCAUACAGAAAGACAUCAUUCCCAAUUUUUUACUUAAAGCAUUUUACCUUUUAUGAAUGAUUGUCAUAGACUUGGAAUUAGUGGAGUCUAGACUAAUGAGUCUUUGCUGUAUUUGUGUGGGAACAUGGUAAUUUCUGAUUUGAUAGUUUAUCUUUAAAUUUUCUAAAGAAAAGAAAGCUACCACAGAGAUGGUGGAGAGCAAGUUGACCUGUUCACACUUGAUGUAAUACAUUUUGGUAUUUAUGGAGAGAGUGCCCAAGGCAAGUAGGAGUCUAAGUAGUAGUGAUAAGUGUGCAUUUUGUCUUCAUGGGGACCCUGAGGGAGAUGAAGAGUGCUAAGCCUUGGCAGGAAAGCAGCAACCCAGAUAUAAAAUACUUCAGCUCCAAAUGUGUCUACCAGAGCAUAAAUUUAUUAAAAUCCCAUUUUCAACCAUAAAGAAAAUACAUCAAUAAAGCAGCAGCUCCCACUAGCUAAGUCAGGUUUGUUUUGUGUUUUGCAGUAUCAUUUUUUUUUUAUAAAAGUAUGAAUGGUUUAGCAACCCUGGCUUUAAAAGAGGGAUCUCAAGCACCAGUUCCAUGGUUGGUUUUAGUAGAGUCGGUGUGCUACUAAAUAUAGAAUGGCCAAGCAGUGGCCUUCUGCAUAAAACCACUUGGAAGCCUUUCUCUAAGGAUGAGGGUUCCAUUUUUCUCUGUCAAAACCAGCAAGUACAAACAUGGCCUGUAAACAAAAGGUCUUCAUUAAUAGAAGAUUGUCAUUUCUGCUGAAUCCCAACUGGGAGAGUUUGGACUGGACAGAAGAAGGGAAAGGCGGUGGAUGAUUAAGAAGCUACAAGGUACAGGGGAUGUUUCAGCUUCUAAAACUUCCUCUUCAUCAGUUGAAUUACUGUCUUCAAGAGCUGUCUGUGCCCCCCACUUUUUGUGGAAUCCUGCGAUCCUGGAGGGAGGAAGCUAUUACCAAGUUGAUUUUUGAAUGAGUGCGUUUCAGUGUCAAGAGCAUGAAAGGGAAGGAUGGAGAAGCUGUCACAAAUUGGUGGAGACUGAGGACAUAUGAGAGCUAAAUGCAGUGUGGCAUCCUGGAUUGAAUCCCAGAGUAGAGAAAAAGACAUGAAUGGAAAGACUGAGGAAUUCCAAAUAAUACAUCUAGUUUCAUUAAUUGCACCAUACUGGGUUGAUUUCUUAUUUCUGUACAGUACAUCUUUCUCUUUCCUGGACACUAAAAUUUACUAUGUCAGGCUACAUUUAAAAGUAAAACAUGUUCAAGAAAUUAUUUUCUUUGUGACAGAAAUGCAAUGUGUUUUUCUCCAGUUGAAGUGGUGACGAUUGCAGAACGGUCUUCCCUAUUAAACAUGGUAUCUAAAGAAAUAUCUAAAACUGAUAUUGAAAGAAAUCCAUGGAACUCCCAUGACUACUUCAAGGAAAGUGCCAAGCUGUCUUCCAAAAUGGCUGCAUCAUUUUGCAUUCCCACCAGCAAUGAAUAAGAGCUCCCAUUGCUCCACGUUGUCUCCAGAACUUGAUGCUGUCAGUAUAUUGACUUUUGGCCCUUCUGAAAGCGGGGAACAGGAGCAGCAGAGAAACCACUGAAUCCAGAAAGGCCUUCCAGAAGAAUGGAGAAACACUCCACUGUGAACUUUGCAGACAGGGAAAUGGAGGAAGGAGAGACCAUGAACAGAAGAGGCUAGCUGGAAAAAGCAAAAAUCGUAACCAGAACUCAGAUGAUCAAUACCUGUUUUUUCUCUGACCUGUCACUCCCCCUCCUGACAAAUGCCCAUCCUCUUAUUAUAUAAACUUAUCAGUAUUUCAGGGGAUGGGGGGACAGUGCAAAAGGCAACGGACCCACAUUUGGCAGAGUUUAAAUUUCCUCCAUCAUGGUAGAUUGGAAGCUCAGGCUAGAAGGUAAGUGGUUCCAGGGAAAAGGAAAUAAAGUGAAUAAAAGAGGAUACACUUCUUGCUCCAUGUAUUUGUGGGCUGAGAGUCACACCUGCUACACUUUCUUCUGCUCAGUCAGGCACCCCUGUUUAUUUUGAGACAGAGAUUUCUAAUGGUACAUAACAUCAUGCUUUUAAUCAGCACUAAGUACAUAUUUUGUAACUUGGCAAAUGAUGUAGUUCUUUAGAAAAACAUUUUUUUUUUCUUUUUGGCAGAGAGUGUUUUUUUCAAACAGUGUGAUUCUCCAAAACAACAUUGAAGGAAUUCUUAAUCAAGCAAAUAAAAAUUUUUCAGAUGAAUAAAUAAAAUCUUAAAAUCUGGUUACUCAA